rnacentral:rRNA from 1 species
CAGUACCGUGAGGGAAAGGCGAAAAGAACCCCGGCGAGGGGAGUGAAAAAGAACCUGAAACCGUGUACGUACAAGCAGUGGGAGCCUCUUUAUGGGGUGACUGCGUACCUUUUGUAUAAUGGGUCAGCGACUUAUAUUCUGUAGCAAGGUUAACCGAAUAGGGGAGCCGAAGGGAAACCGAGUCUUAACUGGGCGUUAAGUUGCAGGGUAUAGACCCGAAACCCGGUGAUCUAGCCAUGGGCAGGUUGAAGGUUGGGUAACACUAACUGGAGGACCGAACCGACUAAUGUUGAAAAAUUAGCGGAUGACUUGUGGCUGGGGGUGAAAGGCCAAUCAAACCGGGAGAUAGCUGGUUCUCCCCGAAAGCUAUUUAGGUAGCGCCUCGUGAAUUCAUCUCCGGGGGUAGAGCACUGUUUCGGCAAGGGGGUCAUCCCGACUUACCAACCCGAUGCAAACUGCGAAUACCGGAGAAUGUUAUCACGGGAGACACACGGCGGGUGCUAACGUCCGUCGUGAAGAGGGAAACAACCCAGACCGCCAGCUAAGGUCCCAAAGUCAUGGUUAAGUGGGAAACGAUGUGGGAAGGCCCAGACAGCCAGGAUGUUGGCUUAGAAGCAGCCAUCAUUUAAAGAAAGCGUAAUAGCUCACUGGUCGAGUCGGCCUGCGCGGAAGAUGUAACGGGGCUAAACCAUGCACCGAAGCUGCGGCAGCGACACUAUGUGUUGUUGGGUAGGGGAGCGUUCUGUAAGCCUGUGAAGGUGUGCUGUGAGGUAUGCUGGAGGUAUCAGAAGUGCGAAUGCUGACAUAAGUAACGAUAAAGCGGGUGAAAAGCCCGCUCGCCGGAAGACCAAGGGUUCCUGUCCAACGUUAAUCGGGGCAGGGUGAGUCGACCCCUAAGGCGAGGCCGAAAGGCGUAGUCGAUGGGAAACAGGUUAAUAUUCCUGUACUUGGUGUUACUGCGAAGGGGGGACGGAGAAGGCUAUGUUGGCCGGGCGACGGUUGUCCCGGUUUAAGCGUGUAGGCUGGUUUUCCAGGCAAAUCCGGAAAAUCAAGGCUGAGGCGUGAUGACGAGGCACUACGGUGCUGAAGCAACAAAUGCCCUGCUUCCAGGAAAAGCCUCUAAGCAUCAGGUAACAUCAAAUCGUACCCCAAACCGACACAGGUGGUCAGGUAGAGAAUACCAAGGCGCUUGAGAGAACUCGGGUGAAGGAACUAGGCAAAAUGGUGCCGUAACUUCGGGAGAAGGCACGCUGAUAUGUAGGUGAAGUCCCUUGCGGAUGGAGCUGAAAUCAGUCGAAGAUACCAGCUGGCUGCAACUGUUUAUUAAAAACACAGCACUGUGCAAACACGAAAGUGGACGUAUACGGUGUGACGCCUGCCCGGUGCCGGAAGGUUAAUUGAUGGGGUUAGCGGUAACGCGAAGCUCUUGAUCGAAGCCCCGGUAAACGGCGGCCGUAACUAUAACGGUCCUAAGGUAGCGAAAUUCCUUGUCGGGUAAGUUCCGACCUGCACGAAUGGCGUAAUGAUGGCCAGGCUGUCUCCACCCGAGACUCAGUGAAAUUGAACUCGCUGUGAAGAUGCAGUGUACCCGCGGCAAGACGGAAAGACCCCGUGAACCUUUACUAUAGCUUGACACUGAACAUUGAGCCUUGAUGUGUAGGAUAGGUGGGAGGCUUUGAAGUGUGGACGCCAGUCUGCAUGGAGCCGACCUUGAAAUACCACCCUUUAAUGUUUGAUGUUCUAACGUUGGCCCCUAAUCGGGGUUGCGGACAGUGUCUGGUGGGUAGUUUGACUGGGGCGGUCUCCUCCUAAAGAGUAACGGAGGAGCACGAAGGUUGGCUAAUCCUGGUCGGACAUCAGGAGGUUAG